rnacentral:rRNA from 1 species
UACGAAGGGAGCUAGCGUUGUUCGGAAUCACUGGGCGUAAAGCGCACGUAGGCGGAUGUGUCAGUCAGGGGUGAAAUCCCGGAGCUCAACUUCGGAACUGCCCUUGAUACAGCACGUCUUGAGUCCGGAAGAGGUGGGUGGAAUUCCUAGUGUAGAGGUGAAAUUCGUAGAUAUUAGGAAGAACACCGGUGGCGAAGGCGGCCCACUGGUCCGGUACUGACGCUGAGGUGCGAAAGCGUGGGGAGCAAACAGG